rnacentral:lncRNA from 1 species
UAGUAGUAAAAAUUAGUUGGCUGAUAAAUUAAUCACUGGAAAAUUUUAAAAUAAAACUGGCACAUCAGUACUCUUGAUUUAUUUGAUUAUCAAAAAAGCUGUUUUAAUUAAUUUAAAAUCACUUAGUCCAACAUCACCCAUUUCUUAUUUCUCAAUUGUCUGCACCGAUUAAUGCACUUAAAAAAAAAAAAAGAUAGAUAACAAAAUACAUAUCUAAUUAUCAACUUCGUUCAUUAUCAUAUAUACUUAUAAAUUCAAAAAGCUUGAAUGAAUCAUUAACAUUUCUAGUUAGUAGAGAGGAGAGACAUUGAAUUGUGUACAGCAAUAUUGAGGCGUUUCCUUGACCACUUCUUUUUUUUUUCCCUUUCUCUUAACUGUUUUUGCAACACGCAUUUACGAUUUAUGCUUUUUUUAUUAUUAUUAUACGACAAGAAUAUAAAUAAGUAUUUGACUACACAAUUCACUAUAUAUAUGCAAUUACUCACUUGAAAACAAUUUUUCUUUAUUUGAGAAAAAAACAUUUUCACAUGAAGAUCGACCAUAUAUGACUAGAGUUGGCAAACCUAAACGUACCAUGUUUAUCGUAAAUCAAGAAACAACAUAGGAGAGACUUUAAUCCAGUUGUAUAGCUUUUAACUACUAGAUUUGCCUCUCGCAUAGGCUCACUCACCUAUAUAAACUCUUUGUGGUUAGUUGUUUAUAGGUCGGUUAUACUAAGACUAUCUUCUGUGUUUCUUGUUAAUUAUUGAAAUAUUCGAGUGUCCGAUAUUAUUCCGGUACAAUUGUAUAAACUCUUUGUGGUAAUUGUUUAUGAAAUCUUCCAUUGAGUUUUUUUUUUUUUCGCAUAUAUACUUAAACGUUUUUUAUUAGAAAUUUUCUUUUAAAUUUUUUUGAUUAAUCAAAAAUGCGAUGAAUGAAAUUAGUAUCGAUCAAAUGGAGUGUUCGCAUUUUACCAAAAUAAUUGAACAUUUAGGCACAAAGAUGAGUCCAUGGAUGACAUUAUGGCUUAGUGAUCUUUUAGUUAAGGACUCACCUAUCAAUGAAAUCAAACAAUCAAAU